AAUCCCACAAUAACGCACGAGCCAAUCAGCACCACACGAUUAUCUAUCUACUUCUUCUACUACUAUUAAACAAUCAAACAAGAACUUUCUUACAUGCACCCCGCAAUUAAUCACACAAUAACGCACGAGCCAAUCAGCACCACACGAUUAGGCCAACAAGUCUCAAUCUAACGGCCAUCAUUAAUCCAAUACCUCUACAGUGUGCACUUAGCAUUUACCAAUGACUGACCGUACUUCACCAGGAGAGUAGUAGUCGAACAACCAGCCCCGCGCGUCCCCUACAAUCACGGAAAUCAGAUCGCAAACUAACAACCAACCCAGCAUCCCCUACAAUCACGGAAAAUCAGAUCGCAAGCUAAGGGAACUUCACGCCCUUGACCUUGACCCCACCGCCAGGCACAUACGCCGCCAACCAACGGCGUCUCCUGCCUGCGCAGCGACCACGCCGCACUGCACCGUCCCGUCACCUCCGUGCACGAUCGCCAUCGCCGAUUGUUGCCGCUCGUAGCGUGGCAUCCGUCCUGCGAGAUCGCCAGUGCCCAGGAGAGAGCCUGCCCCGGCACCCGCACCGCCGUGCCCGCCCUGCACUGGCACCCACGCCGCCGCGCACACGCCCGCCGGGGCAGGGCGCCAGCGCCUGUCGCGUCCCCUGAACCAGCCGGGCACACGCAGCUGUGAUUCUUCCGAGGACUUCUUCAGGUUCGACUUCUUCCUUUGACUGUUGCAGCAUUACUCAUGAUUAGAUUUUUGAUAAUAGAGUUCUAACUAAUAAACAGUUGCACAGCAAAAUGCUAUAAGCCUUUCAUUUUACAUACUGACUAUAUGAGGAUAAUGAAACUGGAUUUGUGUUGCACAAAUUGCCUUUACUAUAUCAAGUAAAUACAGGAAAGUGACUUUACUAUAUCAAGUUCCAUCAACAUGACCACCAACACAAUCAUUCUACAAAGUAAUAUAGCAUCUAUCCAGCUCCAGGGUGUUACAAUGAAUUGUAUAAAUCUGUAUAAACCCACUUUUGCACACCACAUGAUUGAGAAUGUGCAUGAUUAUUUAAACUGAAAACAUCUGGAGUACACGUGAUCCAUUCUAAUUCUGAAAACUAAAGAAGUCGCACUUCCUGCUCCCUGAGUACAAAAUGGUGCAUUUGAAUGUCUGUUUGUUGGAACUACGCAACUUUAGCAUAUCUUUUUUUUCAUGUGCAUCUCCUAAUAGGUGAGAGCAUCAACAACAUUUUGUUGAUCUAUCAUGAACCGGUUUAGAAUAUAUGUUUUUGCAGGACUAAUGCUUGUGGUAAGCCAUCUAAGAAAUAUUUAGAGUUGCCGGCAAAGGUAAUCUGGAAGUAUGAUUUAGUAAACAAAUAUGCCCGACCAUCACAUCAAGGAAAUGUUCCAUAUACAACUACAUGAAUUUCUUAGAACAAUAAAAAUAUUGUGCAAUGCAACGAAGAUUCAAAACAUACUCUUUGAUUCAGACUUGUUGCUCCCAUCCCCUUUCGGUACCAAAAAGUGUUCAAGUUUUGUACCUGAUCUGGAAUCCAAACCCCUGGCUUGCUGAAUGACUCGAGCAGGUCAGAACCACAUAGCAGCAUUACCUUGACACUUCCUGAGACAAAACGCAAGUCGUAAACAACUGAUUUAUAUACAGUGUUAUAGUACUGAUACAAUUGGUGAUCCAACAAUGUGAGAGAAGACACUACUGUGUUGCAACAACAAAAAUCAUUGUCACAUACCUUGAUCAGCUAAGCCAUCCUUGCACAGAAGAAUUCUUAACUCUUGAGAGAAUGGUCAAGGUACGCUGAUGACCUUUCUGCAUUGCCUGUAUCAAGAACACAAGAAUGUGUCCAUCAAAUGAACACAUCAUCCGAACUGAAAGUACCUUAUGUGAUAGCGAAAAUCCAAUGGUACGCAUGUACUGAUAACAUGAAAAAUCAGGUUAUUAUGCAUGGAUCAACCAUCACGAAAGACGAGCUUCAACAUGCCAAUUCGCAGAGGCGAAUCCGGUGAGCAAACGGCAAGAGGUCAUGAGCAGCCCCAAAUUGCAAAUUCGGUCAUGAGAAUGUGGUGUUAACACAAACCCAUACACAUUUCCAGUUCCGCAUAGUACCUUCUUCUUGUUAGCAUCGGUUCACCAGGGACAUGUAUCCAUUAAGGCAGUAACAUCCCAGCACCGACUACCCUCGCUGCUGCAACUCAUCCUUUGCAAGCUCUGUACGUAUGAAACAAGAGAUGGGGUAAUAUGCAAUCUAUUUGUUCUGAUUCUCAGCAUGUUCUAAUAUUAACACAACACUUCAGAGUUGCUAAACAGAUUUAACAGGUGUUGCGGCUUACCAAACAUGCCUGUGCAUGUAGGUGGGAAGGUUGAAGCUCCCGGUGGCCACCAGCACAACACCACCCCGCCUUCCCCCGUCUCUGCGGUCAUCCAAUUGAAUAAGGGAACGUAUGGUGGACUAGGAUGACUCUGAAUAACGCAAGUGAAGAAAUCCAAGAUCAGGUUCUUUUCUUUCUGCUUACAGAUUUGGAUCCGUGGACAACUUCUCUGUGGGGACGGGAACUUCCACCUCCUCCAAGGCCAUGGCCACGGCCGUCCUCUUCAAAUUCCCAGCUGAGCAAGAAGCCGGCACAAAAUCUUCGCUUCUCUCUUCCUGGGGUCGGCGUGCGCCCCCCGCCUGAGAGGUCGGUAGUCCGGCGUGUGCGGUAAGGGGCCGGCAUCACCGGCGAGCAUGCCAAGCUCGACCGCCUCCUCGAGCACUUCGAGGGCCGAAUUCGAAGGAGGAGCGAGGUGGAGUAGGGGCAUGCACGUCCGCCGGCGUGGGUGACGAAGGGGAGGGGCGGCCUUACAGGGAGCGCCGGCUAUGGAGGGAGGGAUCUGGCGACCAUGGAAUAUUAGGGAAGGGAGGAGAAAAGACAGGGGCGGUGGAAUGACUGGCUUUUUUAGUACAACUACAGUAUAUACUAGCAGUGUCCAGAGAAGGAUUGUGAGUGACUGUGGCGUUGUCCAAACCAAUUUUCUUUCAUCCUCUAGAAAAAUACUUUUCUUUUAUAGGGCAUGUUCGAUUUUGGGUGCCAUUUCUUUAAUCAUCACGGCUUGUUAUGAUCAUGAUGAUCAGUUGAUGGUUUAAAAAGUUUCGUAUAAAUAUCUAUAAAAAUUAAAUAAAACUGAAUAUAUUUUAUGUUUUGUAAUCCUGUAGGUCAUCUUGUGGAGUACUUCACCGGAGAUAUAAAUUUUAUGGGUCUAUGAAAACUAACUAACUCUGAUUACUACUUUAUAGGAUCAUAUGACAUAUUUUAGAACAAAACUACCUGUCAUUUUAGUGGAUGAGGAAUAAAAUGAUGAUAUUACAAGAAAUCAAGACUUGAAAGAUGACGGAAACAACACAGACCCCAAAGAUUGAAUGAUUAUUGAUANNNNNNNNNNCCCCAAAACAUCGAACAUAUCACCCGAAGUUGAGCUCAUCUCACAAUCAUUUAUCCUUUCACCGACUGUCACUCCAACAAACGAUGACUUAAUAGAGUAACUUUGUUCAUCGGUAUGAUUGAUGAUGUCCCUUUACUAGAGUAAGACAUAUUUUUUCAUAUUUUAAAGUAUGAAGGAAAUGAAGUUGACGAGGAAGUUUUUGAUAUAUAUUUUAAAGUACGAAGGGAACCAAGCUCAAACCAAUAUCCCAUCGGAUGGAGCACCAUAGAUCGUAUCAAUAAAUGGACCUUCAAGAGAUAAUGGUGUUUAGUUGUGUUUUUUAAAUUAUGUAACAAAUUAUAAUAGAAUUAUGUGAUCAUCAAUGUUAUAUGAAGACAUGUUUAUGGGUCGUAUGUUACACGCGCGCUCAUAUCACUGAGCAUAAGACAGAUUUGAAUGGGUCGGUAAAAAACUCGCUAGAAGAGAAAAUAUACUCAAAUAGAUGUUUUUAUUGUAGAUUAUGAUACGUGCGUUGCACAUGCAUGUGUACUAGUAGCAAAAAACAAUCUAACCACACUCUCAAAUUUGAGAAAAUCCGAACUUUAUUCUUAUGUGUAAAUGUUCACACUAACAUUGGAAUAUCAAAUUGUCGGUGUACAAAAAGAGGGGUACACUUUUUGUACCCCUAUAACUGUGCACGGGCAGUCUGAGUCUACUACUAUUAAACAAUCAAACAAGAACUUUCUUACAUGCACCCCGCAAUUAAUCCCACAAUAACGCACGAGCCAAUCAGCACCACACGAUUAGGCCAACAAGUCUCAAUCUAACGGCCAUCAUUAAUCCAAUACCUCUACAGUGUGCACUUAGCAUUUACCAAUGACUGACCGUACUUCACCAGGAGAGUAGUAGUCGAACAACCAGCCCCGCGCGUCCCCUACAAUCACGGAAAUCAGAUCGCAAACUAACAACCAGCCCAGCAUCCCCUACAAUCACGGAAAAUCAGAUCGCAAGCUAAGGGAACUUCACGCCCUUGACCUUGACCUCACCGCCAGGCACAUACGCCGCCAACCAACGGCGUCUCCUGCCUGCGCAGCGACCACGCCGCACUGCACCGUCCCGUCACCUCCGUGCACGAUCGCCAUCGCCGAUUGUUGCCGCUCGUAGCGUGGCAUCCGUCCUGCGAGAUCGCCAGUGCCCAGGAGAGAGCCUGCCCCGGCACCCGCACCGCCGUGCCCGCCCUGCACUGGCACCCACGCCGCCGCGCACACGCCCGCCGGGGCAGGGCGCCAGCGCCUGUCGCGUCCCCUGAACCAGCCGGGCACACGCAGGUGUGAUUCUUCCGAGGACUUCUUCAGGUUCGACUUCUUCCUUUGACUGUUGCAGCAUUACUCAUGAUUAGAUUUUUGAUAAUAGAGUUCUAACUAAUAAACAGUUGCAC
rnacentral:lncRNA from 1 species